CUACAUUUUUUUUCCAGCGUAAAGUCUGGCACAGAGGGAAUUAUGGCGUGAGACUCUUUUUGAGGAGUUGGACUUGGUCUUUUAAUGCUCAGCAUACCAAGAAAUUCUGGACACUUUUGUGCCCUGAACUUUAAGAAACAGUUUUGGGAUAGCUCCUUCCUGUACCAACAAAAGUGCACACCGCUGCACAAAGCAAGGUCCAUAAAGACAUGGAUGAGAGAGUUGUCUGGAUCCUGGAUGGAAGAAAACAGCAGUUUCUGGGCCCAGCAACCUCUGCCCCUGUUUAUCCACCAACAUCCCGCACAAACAGGCCUGCCUCAAAGUCAGAAAACAACCUGGGAGUAUAAACUCCAAGCCUGAUGCUCUUUCCCGGCAGUUCGCACCAGAUGACUCUGAGAAGCUACCUGAACCUAUUGUGCCCCCUGCCUGGACCAUCGGAUCUGUGUCUUGGGAGAUUGCGGAACUGAUCUCCCGAGCGCUAAGGAUUGCCUACUCCCUCCUAUUGUUCCUGCACACCAUACUGAUCCAUUCUCCUUAAAUAAACCUUUUUUCAAAUUUUU